rnacentral:rRNA from 1 species
UACGUAGGGUGCAAGCGUUGUCCGGAAUUAUUGGGCGUAAAGAGCUCGUAGGCGGUCUGUCGCGUCUGCUGUGAAAACUCGGGGCUUAACCCCGGGCCUGCAGUGGGUACGGGCAGACUAGAGUGCGGUAGGGGAGACUGGAAUUCCUGGUGUAGCGGUGAAAUGCGCAGAUAUCAGGAGGAACACCGGUGGCGAAGGCGGUUCUCUGGGCCGUAACUGACGCUGAGGAGCGAAAGCGUGGGGAGCGAACAGG